AAACCAAUAGGAACUAUCUACACAAAGUCAAUAAUCAUAACAAUAUCGAUACUAUCGCCUGUAGUCGAAUCUUACCUUCCUUAGAGCUAAGGAAUACAUGCCUCCAAACAGUUUUUACUAUUUGUUGCUAAACAAUUAGCGCAAUCAAGCGUUCACUGGUGUUAUGACGUGGUUGAGUAAUUUAACGAUGGGAUUAAGUGACAAUGAAACAGUAAAUAAAUGCGUUUAGUUUUGUAACGCGAUGAGUGGAUAAUUAUUGUUGCCUGAGUGUUUUGUAAAAGGGUUGACACCAUGGGUUGACCGAUAAAUGGCGGCAAAAUGUUGAAGGUGCAUUUCCUGUUGUAGUAACGAGGGGACUUUAAAUGUAGGGUCUUAUACUCCUCCCAUUUGCAUAUACAUACAUCCCCAGUAGUACUACGAGUAUACAGAUGAAAAUAUUGAAUUAUUAAAUUUUAUUAAUAACUUUA